UACGAAGGGGGCUAGCGUUGCUCGGAAUCACUGGGCGUAAAGGGCGCGUAGGCGGGUCUCUAAGUCGGGUGUGAAAACUCUGGGCUCAACCCAGAGCCUGCAUUCGAAACUGACGGGCUAGAGUUCUGGAGGGGAAAGCGGAAUUCCUGGUGUAGCAGUGAAAUGCGUAGAUAUCAGGAGGAACACCAGUGGCGAAGGCGGCUCACUGGACCGGUUCUGACGCUGAGGCGCGAAAGCGUGGGGAGCAAACGGG
rnacentral:rRNA from 1 species